rnacentral:rRNA from 1 species
CCUACGGGAGGCAGCAGUAGGGAAUCUUCCACAAUGGGCGAAAGCCUGAUGGAGCGACGCCGCGUGGGUGAAGAAGGUCUUCGGAUCGUAUAACCCUGUUGUGAGAGAAGAAAGCGCGUGAGAGUAACUGUUCACGCUUCGACGGUAUCUAACAAGAAAGCGACGGCUAACUACGUGCCAGCAGCCGCGGUAAUACGUAGGUGGCAAGCGUUAUCCGGAUUUAUUGGGCGUAAAGGGAACGCAGGCGGUCUUUUAAGUCUGAUGUGAAAGCCUUCGGCUUAACCGGGGUAGUGCAUUGGAAACUGGGAGACUUGAGUGCAGAAGAGGAUGGUGGAACUCCAUGUGUAGCGGUGAAAUGCGUAGAUAUCUGGAAGAACACCAGUGGCGAAGGCGGCUCUCUGGUCUGUAACUGACGCUGAGGUUCGAAAGCGUGGGUAGCAAACAGGAUUAGAUACCCUGGUAGUC